AGGGUAAACGCUGGCGGCGUGCCUAAAACAUGCAAGUCGCACGGCAUCUUCGGAUGCAGUGGCAGACGGCUGAGUAACGCGUGGGUGACAUACCCAUUGGUGGGGAAUAACUGCCCGAAAGGGUGGCUAAUACCGCAUACGGCUGGAGCUUCGUGGCUCUAGAGAAAGCAGUAAUGCGCCGAUGGAGUGGCCCGCGUCCGAUUAGCCAGUUGGUGGGGUAACGGCCUACCAAAGCGACGAUCGGUAGCUGGUCUCAGAGGAUGAUCAGCCAGACUGGGACUGAGACACGGCCCAGACUCCUACGGGAGGCAGCAGUUAGGAAUUUUGGGCAAUGGGCGAAAGCCUGACCCAGCAACGCCGCGUGGGUGACGAAGGCCUUCGGUUGUAAGCCCUUUCUCAGGAAGAUGAUGACGGUACCUGAGGAAGAAGCACCGGCUAACUACGCGCCAGCAGCCGC
rnacentral:rRNA from 1 species